UACGGAGGGUGCGAGCGUUGCUCGGAAUCACUGGGCGUAAAGCGUACGCAGGCUGUCUCGUAAGUCGGGUGUGAAAGCCCGGGGCUCAACCCCGGAAUUGCGCCCGAGACUGCGGGGCUUGAAUGCGGGAGAGAGAAGCGGAAUUCCUGGUGUAGAGGUGAAAUUCGUAGAUAUCAGGAGGAACACCGGUGGCGAAAGCGGCUUCCUGGCCCGACAUUGACGCUCAUGUACGAGAGCGUGGGGAGCAAACAGG
rnacentral:rRNA from 1 species